CAUCCCUCUUUGAGCUCUUUCUUGAUUCAGUGGGUGGUGGUGCAUGGCCGUUCUUAGUUGGUGGAGUGAUUUGUCUGGUUAAUUCCGUUAACGAACGAGACCUUAACCUGCUAAAUAGUCACGCGAACCGGUCCGCAAGGGCUCAAAGUUCGCGGCUCGACUUCUUAGAGGGACUAUUCGCACCCGCCAGCGAAUGGAAGUUUGAGGCAAUAACAGGUCUGUGAUGCCCUUAGAUGUUCUCGGCCGCACGCGCGUUACACUGACGGAGUCAACGAGCGUUUUUCCUUGCCUGACAGGGCUGGGUAACCUCCUGAAACUCCGUCGUGAUGGGGAUAGAUCAUUGCAAUUAUUGAUCUUGAACGAGGAAUUCCUAGUAGGCGCGAGUCAUCAACUCGCGCCGAUUACGUCCCUGCCCUUUGUACACACCGCCCGUCGCUCCUACCGAUUGAACGGUCCGGCGAGAACUCCGGAUGGUCA
rnacentral:rRNA from 1 species